rnacentral:rRNA from 1 species
GGCGCAGGCGGCCUGGUAAGUCGAAUGUGAAAUCUCCCGGCUUAACUGGGAGGGGUCAUUCGAUACUAUCAAGCUGGAGUGCGACAGGGGGAGGUAGAAUUCCCGGUGUAGUGGUGAAAUGCGUAGAUAUCGGGAGGAAUACCAGUGGCGAAGGCGGCCUCCUGGGUCGUUACUGACGCUUAAGCCCGAAAGCGUGGGGAGCAAACAGGAUCAGAUACCCUGGUAGUCCACGCUGUAAACUAUGGACACUGGGUAUGGGGAGUAUCGACCCUCUCCGUGCCGAAGUUAACGCGUUAAGUGUCCCGUCUGGGAACUACGGCCGCAAGGCUAAA